rnacentral:rRNA from 1 species
UACGGAGGGUGCAAGCGUUAUCCGGAUUCACUGGGUUUAAAGGGUGCGUAGGAGGGCAGGUAAGUCAGUGGUGAAAUCUUCGAGCUUAACUCGGAACUGCCGUUGAUACUAUCUGUCUUGAAUAUUGUGGAGGUGAGCGGAAUAUGUCAUGUAGCGGUGAAAUGCUUAGAUAUGACAUAGAACACCAAUUGCGAAGGCAGCUCGCUACACAUAUAUUGACUCUGAUGCACGAAAGCGUGGGGAUCAAACAGG